rnacentral:rRNA from 1 species
GAUGAACGCUAGCGGCAGGCAUAAUACAUGCAAGUUGAACGGGAUCCAUCAGCAAUGGUGGUGAGAGUGGCGCACGGGUGCGUAACACGUAUGCAACCUGCCUCAACCGGGGAAUAGCCCGUGGAAACAUGGAUUAAUAUCCCAUAAGAUAGUAGAUAGGCAUCUAUCAGCUAUUAAAACUCCGGUGGUUUGAGAUGGGC